GCCAGCUUGCCGUUGUGCAUGAGUGGCGUGAGGAUGGCCUCCGGCUUCGGGUCUUUGGACUGGGUGUCCCCAAAGAGGCCACUGAGCUUGGUGACGCUGCUCAUCGAUCCCCGACGCGAGUGGGUGAGCUCUUUCUCCUUGCGCUGCACGACGGCCACGUCUUUGCGCCGGUGAUCGCACACACAAUACACGAUGAUGCCCGAGAAGACGGCCCCCAUGACAAAAGCCAGAAUGACUGCAAUGGCCAAGAGGGUGACAGGAACAAGCUGGUCGUUGCUUUUGAGAAUUAGAAUACAUGCGCUAUCCUGAGUCUGGAGGAAGCAGCGGCUAUUUUAUGGAUGUUAAAUGAACAAAUCACCCAACAACCCAAGCUUUCCAUUCAGCCUUUUUCUGAGGACUGCCUGUGACAACAGGGGGGCUCUGUCUGGAGAAAGGCAUGUUUGCUUUCGAAGCCACAAGAGGAUGGAGGCUUUGUGUCACCACAGUGAAAAAUAGCUUAAGCUCACAGGUUACAAUAUUUACACUUAUUUUGCAUCAAAAAAGGAAAAGCCACACUCGAUUUCAGGUAAAUGUGCAGCAGCUGAAAAAAAUAUUUAAAUCAGGGGCCCGUUGUGGGCUUGUAAAGUGUCAGGUCCCAUUAUUACUCUUAGGGCUUGCUGUCACUACGAGAUUCUUCAGCAGAGCUGAUCUCUUCGAUUUAAUAAAAAUUAAGUGGCUA